AAAAUCCUAAUAGCUGAUCGGAGAGAAUAGUGUGUGCGAGAAGGGACCAGAUGGCCGAACGAUUGAGAAAUCUGCGAAACAUGAAGGAACGGACCGAACCAAGUGAAUGGACGGUCAAGAUUAAGUGUUUAAAAGCACGAAUCUCAAGGAAAAUUCCUCGGACAACUUCCAUGUUUUGGGGAACAUGUCCGACUGGGUGUCACCGCCGAAGAGGUGAAGCCGACAUGUGUCGCGACUUUACAUCCUAGUAUGAUUAGCCAUGCUGUUGCUGAGUCAUUGACAACCAUAGAUUAUCCGCCUGAGGCUGUGUUACCCUUAAA
rnacentral:lncRNA from 1 species